rnacentral:lncRNA from 1 species
UUUUUUUUUUUUUUUUUUUUUUUUUUUUUUAAGCUUUGAAAAUGAUGGUUUGGGUAUUAAAAAAAAUUAAAAAAAAAAAAAAGACACUAAGGCCAGUGAGUUACAGUCUCAGGGUGGGUGGUGUUUCCCCCUUGAGCAAAGCAGCAAGACAUUGAACAGAAUUUCCUGUCUUUGGGGUGUGGGCCAGGAUGUCUUCCCAAUAUGUCCUGACCGUGGUCCAGAAGUGCCGUGCUCUUCUCUCCUGGGGCAGGCUUUUAUUUUUGUUUGCUUUUAAGGUGGUUUUUUUUUUGUUGUUGUUUUUUUUUUUGGUGUCCUGUUUUUUUGUUGUUUUUUUCUCCUCCAUGGGUCUUGGCAGGCACCCUUUUCAUGGCUGUCAGCCAAAAGGAAGGCUCUGGAGCUGCCAAGAAAGGGGGAGACUUAGGCUGGCUAAUUCCCAGAUGAACGGUGCUCCAUUCCCCUCCCUACCCCCACAAUGCCCCUCCACACACACAGUGUUAAGGAGCCCAGAGCAGCUGCUUCCCCUCCCCCAACUCUGUCCCCACAUCAUGGGUUUGCUCAGUGCCACCCCUCACCUCUUCUGCUUACAUUAGCUCUGUCACCAUCUGGUCCAUCGUGAAGAGCUGACAUUUAGAGGCAGAUUGGGCAUGAGAGGUCAGCACUGGGAGGGCAGGCUCCCCAGUUUUAGGGUUCCAGGACAGUUUGUACUGGGCACCUGGUUUGCACACAGUACAGUUUAGCGUCUAGUGGCGGUAAGCCACUCUGCUUUAGAUCAAUCACUAGGGUCCCCACUUAGAAGGGUCCUCGCCUUAGAUCAAUCACAUGGACACUAAGGCACGUUUUAGCGUCUCUUGUCUUAAUGAUUAUGUCUGUCUCUCCGUCCAUUUGUGUUUUCUGCGUCGUGUCAUGGAUGUAACCCUUGGAAAUACUGCACACUAGCCUUUGACAACCAUGAAGCAAUCCGUUACACGUGGGUCUGACUUGUAGACUCAGUUCAGAUAUCAAAUAAAUCUAUAAC